rnacentral:misc_RNA from 1 species
UUGAGUUUGCGCGGCCGCUGCUGGUUCUUACAAGUGCACGCCGCGUCUUUCUUCAUCCACCCCUCUGUGCAUCUGGGCGCGUCUUAGGAUGCGUUCCCAAACUUUACAUUACAAAACCGUCUUGUACUGGUAGAACGUGCUUGCAACAAACUAAUA